rnacentral:rRNA from 1 species
AUUGAACGCUGGCGGCAUGCCUUACACAUGCAAGUCGAACGGCAGCACGGGUGCUUGCACCUGGUGGCGAGUGGCGAACGGGUGAGUAAUACAUCGGAACAUGUCCUGUAGUGGGGGAUAGCCCGGCGAAAGCCGGAUUAAUACCGCAUACGAUCUACGGAUGAAAGCGGGGGACCUUCGGGCCUCGCGCUAUAGGGUUGGCCGAUGGCUGAUUAGCUAGUUGGUGGGGUAAAGGCCUACCAAGGCGACGAUCAGUAGCUGGUCUGAGAGGACGACCAGCCACACUGGGACUGAGACACGGACCAGGCUCCUACGGGAGGCAGCAGUGGGGAAUUUUGGACAAUGGGCGAAAGCCUGAUCCAGCAAUGCCGCGUGUGUGAAGAAGGCCUUCGGGUUGUAAAGCACUUUUGUCCGGAAAGAAAUCCUUGGCCCUAAUACGGUCGGGGGAUGACGGUACCGGAAGAAUAAGCACCGGCUAACUACGUG